AUUGAACGCUGGCGGCAGGCUUAACACAUGCAAGUCGAGCGGGGUGAUGGUGCUUGCACUAUCACUUAGCGGCGGACGGGUGAGUAAUGCUUAGGAAUCUGCCUAUUAGUGGGGGACGACAUCUCGAAAGGGAUGCUAAUACCGCAUACGUCCUACGGGAGAAAGCAGGGGAUCACUUGUGACCUUGCGCUAAUAGAUGAGCCUAAGUCGGAUUAGCUAGUUGGGGGGGUAAAGGCCUACCAAGGCGACGAUCUGUAGCGGGUCUGAGAGGAUGAUCCGCCACACUGGGACUGAGACACGGCCCAGACUCCUACGGGAGGCAGCAGUGGGGAAUAUUGGACAAUGGGGGGAACCCUGAUCCAGCCAUGCCGCGUGUGUGAAGAAGGCCUUAUGGUUGUAAAGCACUUUAAGCGAGGAGGAGGCUCUUUUGGUUAAUACCCAAGAUGAGUGGACGUUACUCGCAGAAUUAGCACCGGCUAACUACGUGCCAGCAGCCGCAGUAA
rnacentral:rRNA from 1 species